UAAGGUAGCGAAAUUCCUUGUCGGGUAAGUUCCGACCCGCACGAAAGGCGUAAUGAUUUGGGUACUGUCUCGGAGAGGGGCUCGGUGAAAUAGACUUGUCUGUGAAGAUGCGGACUACCUGCACCUGGACAGAAAGACCCUAUGAAGCUUUACUGUAACUUGAGAUUGAAAUUGGACUUUAUUUGCGCAGCAUAGGUGGGAAGCUUUGACGGUAUCCUUGCGGGGAUAUCUGAGCUAUCAGUGAGAUACCACUCUUGUAAUGUUAGAUUUCUAACUUUGUACCAUUAGCUGGUCAAAGAACAGUCUCAGGCGGGCAGUUUGACUGGGGCGGUCGCCUCCUAAAUGGUAACGGAGGCGUACAAAGGUUUCCUCAGAUCGGUCAGAAAUCGAUCGUAGAGUGUAAAGGCAGAAGGAAGCUUGACUGUGAGACCUACAAGUCGAGCAGGGACGAAAGUCGGUCUUAGUGAUCUGACGGUACUGAGUGGAAAGGCCGUCACUCAACGGAUAAAAGUUACUCUAGGGAUAACAGGCUGAUCUCCCCCAAGAGUUCACAUCGACGGGGAGGUUUGGCACCUCGAUGUCGGCUCAUCGCAUCCUGGGG
rnacentral:rRNA from 1 species